rnacentral:lncRNA from 1 species
CACAUUUUCUUGGGCAAGUCUACUGAUCCAAGACAUCCACAGUUCUGGGGAAAACACUGGAAGGUCAUUUGUCAAGUGUCUUCUAGUUCUAACACUGAAAACACGUUUCUGCAGCAGUUGAGCCCCCACAGAACCCUUUAAGACGGUAAGAACGCCACCUCGAACCUUCACUGGACGUGGCUUAGUGACCUGGACGGGAUAACGUCUACUUUGACCAUCAGCUACAUGGAGGAGGCAGCGAAUAUAUUAUAAAGAACAAUAAAGAUGGCUCAUAUGGACCAACUUCUAAGAAUUAACCACCACUCACAUUUUGACUUUUGCUUAUUCACACUUUUUUCAUUCAUUUGUCUGCUCAUUCAUUCAUUCCUUUAUUCAUUCUGUAGCAACCAUUCUUGCCGCUCACGUUGACGUUGUGUUAGGGCUGCAAAGUCAGAUCCUCUUGUUACGGACCACUCACUCAAGUGCAGGAGGAGCAGACACAGUGAUAACAGGUCAGAUUGCCCGUGCCAGGUCUUCUAAGCACUUUACAUGCAUUUACUCAUUUAAUCUCUUAAUGACCUGUGAGGUAGGUCCAGUGGUUAUCAUCCAUUGUACAGAUAAGAAACUAAGGUACAAGACCUUAUGUACAUUGCUUAAGGUCCUGGUAGAGCCCGGAUUUGAACCUAAUUCCAGAGUCCACACUUUUAGCCACUACCAGAGAGGUAGUUAAUUAUAACACAAGAUAAUAAGACUUGAUUACAUUUUUUUCACCUCUUAGUAUUGCCAAGAAUAUGCUUUGUUACAUUAAAUUCUCCCAGCAGCCUCAUGACAAGGGACUAUUUUCAUGAUUUCCAUUUUACAGAUGAGAAGACUGAGAUUUGUCGAGGUCACGUGAUUGCUCUCAACCACCCAGCUCUGAAGAGGCUUGAGAGCUGUGCCUGUCAUCCCUGUCAUUGUCCGCCUGUGUGAUCUUGGGCAGGUUAUUUAAGCUUUCUGAGCCUCAGUUUCCUCAUCCACAAAAUGGUGCAAAGCGAUUUCUACUUUACAGACGCGGCUGACCUUAGGGACCGAGAUGGUAGCGGCUGGUUCCAGGCAGCAAGAUGGAGGAAGGGACAAGGAAGAGAGCAAAGCUACUCACCUGACACUGGACACUUCUGCUCACAUCCUGUUGGCCAGAACUUAGUCACAGGACCUGACCUAAACUACAAAGAAGCCUUGAAAAUUAGUCUUUUCUUUCCGGGUGAAAAUGUUCAGCCCCAGCUGCAAAUUCUAUUAUGUGGAAAAAAGAGAGACAGGAUCUUGAGGAACAACUAGAAGUUUCUACCAACACAAAAUCGUCUUUCUGGAUUUAGCCUAAAGGUUCAUGUGGAUAAAGAAAAGAUCCAUUUAUUCAUUCAUUCAAUGACUCACUUAGUUGUUUAACUCAACAGAUAUUUAUUGAGUACCUACUAUGUGCUAGGCACUGUUCUGUGGGCUGAGCUAUACUCGUGAGUUAAACAGGGUUCCCUGCCCUCAUGAAGCCUAUUACAUCCUAGCAGGGAAGAAAGACAACAAGUAAUAAAGAUAAGGAAUUAAAGGACA